rnacentral:rRNA from 1 species
GACGAACGCUGGCGGCGUGCUUAACACAUGCAAGUCGAACGGAAAGGCCCUGCUUUUGUGGGGUGCUCGAGUGGCGAACGGGUGAGUAACACGUGAGUAACCUGCCCUUGACUUUGGGAUAACUUCAGGAAACUGGGGCUAAUACCGGAUAGGAGCUCCUGCUGCAUGGUGGGGGUUGGAAAGUUUCGGCGGUUGGGGAUGGACUCGCGGCUUAUCAGCUUGUUGGUGGGGUAGUGGCUUACCAAGGCUUUGACGGGUAGCCGGCCUGAGAGGGUGACCGGCCACAUUGGGACUGAGAUACGGCCCAGACUCCUACGGGAGGAGGCAGUGGGGAAUAUUGCACAAUGGGCGGAAGCCUGAUGCAGCAACGCCGCGUGCGGGAUGACGGCCUUCGGGUUGUAAACCGCUUUCGCCUGUGACGAAGCGUGAGUGACGGUAAUGGGUAAAGAAACACCGGCUAACUACGU